rnacentral:rRNA from 1 species
AGGGAACCGCCUGAACUGAAACAUCUAAGUAGGGCGAGGAAGAGACAUCAAACGAGAUUCCGUAAGUAGUGGCGAGCGAACGCGGAAGAGGGCAAACCGGGAGUAGAAAUACUUCCGGGGUACGGACUGCUUUUAGGACUUAAUCUGUUAACCGAACGGCAUGGGAAGGCCGGUCAGAGAGUGUGAGAACCACGUAGGUGAAAACGGAGAGAGCUGCGCAGGAUCCAGAGUACGGCCAGACACGUGAAACCUGGUCGGAAUAUGGGGGGACCACCCUCCAACCCUAAAUACUACCCAGUGACCGAUAGCGUAUAGUACUGUGAAGGAAAGGUGAAAAGCACCCCGGGAGGGGAGUGAAAAAGAACCUGAAACCCUGUGCCUACAAGCACCUAGAGCACGUCAAUGUGUGAUAGGGUACUUUUUGUAGAACGGUCCGGCGAGCGAUUGUAUGCAGCAAGGUUAAGGACUUAAGGUCUGGAGCCGAAGCGAAAGCGAGUUUGAAAAGGGCGUUAAGUUGCAUACAAUGGGCCCGAAACCGGGUGACCUACCCAUGGUCAGGUUGAAGUGGAAGUAAAAUUCCAUGGAGGACCGAACCGACCUCCGUUGAAAAGGCGGCGGAUGAACUGUGGGUAGCGGAGAAAUUCCAAUCGAACCCGGAGAUAGCUGGUUCUCCCCGAAAUAGUUUUAGGACUAGCCUCAAGUUAGAUACCUGGAGGUAAAGCACUGAAUAGCCUAGCGGCCGAGAGGUUAGCGAAGCUUAUCAAACUCAGAAUGCCAGAGUAUUGAUGCUUGGGAGUCAGACAGUGUCAGAUAAAUGUCAUUGUCAAAAGGGAAACAGCCCAGAUCUACAGCUAAGGUCCCAAAGUCAGGUUAAGUGGAAAACGAUGUGAAGAUACGUAGACAACCAGGAUGUUGGCUCAGAAGCAGCCACACAUUCAAAGAGUGCGUAAUAGCUCACUGGUCGAGCGUCUUUGCGCGGAGAAUUUAACGGGGCUAAACCUGACACCGAAGCUUAGGCAAUACAGCAAUGUAUUGGGUAGGGGAGCGUUGUAUACGCGGUGAAACAGUAGCGCAAGCGGCUGUGGAGUGUAUAGAAGUGAGAAUGCCGGAAUGAGUAGCGCGAAUGCAGUGAGAAUCUGCAUGGCCGAAAGCCUCAGGUUUCUGGAGGAAGGUUCGUCCGCUCCAGGUUAGUCGGGAGCUAAGGUGAGGCCUAACGGCGUAGCCGAUGCACAGACGGUAGAGAUUCCGUCACCACCAAAAGAGUUAAGCACAGGGACACAUUUGAAGUCUCGGAGCCGGGUGUUGGUUCCGGUAGCGAUCGAGGGAAGUUAGUACCGAAGUCCGGGAUGGAAGAUGGCGAGAAAAGCUGUGUGUAUUUCUGCGGUGCCCGUACCGCAAACCGACACAGGUAGGUAGGAAGAAGAUUCUAAGGCCAACGGGAGAAGGGUUGUUAAGGAACUCGGCAAAUUGACCCCGUAACUUCGGGAGAAGGGGUGCUCCAGAGAUGGAGCCGCAGAGAAUCGGCCCAAGCAACUGUUUACCAAAAACACAGGUUUGUGCUAAAUCGAAAGAUGACGUAUACGAGCUGACGCCUGCCCGGUGCUGGAAGGUUAAGAGGAGAUGUGCAAGCAUUGAAUCGAAGCCCCAGUGAACGGCGGCCGUAACUAUAACGGUCCUAAGGUAGCGAAAUUCCUUGUCAGGUAAG